AGCUGUGAUGGUCCAAGUGGGAGACCCGCUGCAUCCGCCGCGUGUCUGUGGCUUUGGGGCCGUCUCGAACCCCGAAACAGCGAGAGGUGCCUGGUUCGAAUCCCCGGGUCGCGGGAGACUCUCGGCCAAUAGAGUCGACGGAGCCGACAAACCGGCUGUGUCGGCCGUUGGAGUGUCUCCUCCCCACACUCGUGCGAGUAAUCCACGAUUGCUGUGGCGCGCUAAGCCCUGGCCUGGACCCUCGAGGGAAGCGAUUCUGCAGAGAACAGGCCCCCCGGAGAUGGCGGCGCCAGACAACACCCCUCGCUGCACAGUGCCCAAGGCGGACUGGCAGGUCGACUUUUUUAUU
rnacentral:SRP_RNA from 1 species